ACAGUGUAAAUCAUUCUAGCAUUUCCCACAUUCAUAUUGAUGUUAUAUUGAAUGUGGGAAAUGCUAGAAUGACUUACAUUGUGAA
rnacentral:misc_RNA from 1 species